rnacentral:rRNA from 1 species
GACGAACGCUGGCGGCGUGCUUAACACAUGCAAGUCGAGCGGUAAGGCCCUUUCGGGGGUACACGAGCGGCGAACGGGUGAGUAACACGUGGGUGACCUGCCCUUAGCUCUGGGAUAAGCCUGGGAAACUGGGUCUAAUACUGGAUAUGACUCCACGGCGCAUGUUGUGGGGUGGAAAGCCUUGUGCGGCUGGGGAUGGGCCCGCGGCCUAUCAGCUUGUUGGUGGGGUGAUGGCCUACCAAGGCGA